rnacentral:rRNA from 1 species
UGCCAGCCGCCGCGGUAAUACAGAGGGUGCAAGCGUUGUUCGGAAUUAUUGGGCGUAAAGGGCGCGUAGGCGGGUUCUUAAGUCUGAUGUGAAAUCCCUCGGCUCAACCGAGGACGUGCAUUGGAUACUGGGAACCUUGAGUCCUGGAGAGGAAAGCGGAAUUCCAAGUGUAGAGGUGAAAUUCGUAGAUAUUUGGAAGAACACCAGUGGCGAAAGCGGCUACCUGGUCCGGAUUUGACGCUGAGGCGCGAAAGUGUGGGGAGCAAACAGGAUUAGAUA